rnacentral:lncRNA from 1 species
UCCUUGCCGUUUUGGAGGAGCUCAGUCAGGAGCAGAUGGGGAUCAGCUAUGGAUGAAUGGACCUCACAAGGAGGAAGAAAAGACUGGGCCACAUGUUCUUCUGGGUGGCCCAGUCCUGCUGUGAUCUGGAAUGGCUUGUCGUCCUCAUUGUACAGACUUUGCAGGACAGAGAUGAUGCAUAUCCUAUCAACCUUCCUAGUACCUUCUUGUCCUUCAGGUUUAAGCAUCUGGCCAAAUGCUCUACUGAGGUCUUGGACAGCACAGCUAAAGUUAGCAGCAGAUAUCUCAUAAAGUGGUGACUGAUUUUUCCUUUCUCUCUGACCUCAGAAGGAGCUCAGCUCACUGCAGCAAUAUCCAGCUCGGUGAUGUAUACUGACAAAGGGAAGUAAUCUAUUUUGAGUUGGCCUGUAUUUUUUCUCUGUAGCAUCUAGCAU